rnacentral:rRNA from 1 species
UUUCGAAGGGUUUGAUCCUGGCUCAGAAUGAACGUUGGCGGCGUGGAUUAGGCAUGCAAGUCGGACGCCCCUUGGGGGCGUGGCGAAAGGGUGAGUAAGGCGACGGCAACCAACCCCGCGGAGGGGGACAGCCACGGGAAACUGUGGGUAAUCCCCCAUGA